UUGGUUGAUUAUACUUCGAGGAGCCAUUUUCAAAAACUGUGCAGGUGCCCCAAAACAAGACGUGCACCGAUAGAUAAAACGUUAGAUGUUAUCUUAGUUCCAACUAUAAGUCAGCAUUAUAUGUGACAGUGGAGCCGACACCUGUUUACUAUGAGUCAGUUCACAGAGCUGAGGGGGCUUUACCACCUGAGGGAAACCAUCGGCUCAGGUGGAUUUGCGAAGGUGAAGUUGGCUUACCAUGCUCUGACAGGGGAAAAGGUUGCUAUCAAGAUCAUGGACAAACGCUCGCUUGGUGAAGACUUGCCAAGAGUGAAAACAGAAAUUGAAGCCAUGAAGGACCUGUGUCAUCAACAUAUCUGUAAACUUUACCAAGUGAUUGAAACAGAAACCAAGUUCUUCAUGAUUUUAGAGUAUUGCCCUGAGGGAGAGUUGUUUGAUUACAUUUGGCAGCUGUAGCGUACAUACACAGUCAGGGCUAUGCCCACAGAGACCUCAAGCCAGAAAAUUUGUUACUGGAUGAGGACCAGAAUUUGAAAUUGAUUGACUUUGGUUUGUGUGCAAAACCAAAGGGUGGGAUGGACAGUCAGCUGUUUACCUGUUGUGGGAGCCCUGCUUACGCUGCACCUGAGCUGGUGUCGGGCAGGGAAUACCUCGGAUCAGAAGCUGAUCUGUGGAGUAUGGGGAUUUUAUUAUAUGCUUUACUUUGCGGUUAUCUACCCUUUGAUGAUGACAAAAUCCCAUCACUAUAUAAAAAGAUUCAGAGUGGUAAAUAUGACACACCAUCAUGGCUGUCAGAUGAGAGUAAGUCACUGAUAGCAUCCAUGUUACAAGUAGACCCUAAGAGACGGGUCACCAUUCGACAUCUCCUGGCUCACCCAUGGUUAAUGGCUGAUGCCCAGUGUCCAGUGGAGUGGCACAGUAAAUAUAAGAGAUGUCUGGAUGAAGACUGCCUCACUGAGUUAGCAGUGCAUUAUGGGAAGACAAAGAAAGAUAUGGAAGCAUCUGUUUCAGAGUUUAAGUUUGACUACCUUACAGCCACCUACUUUCUUUUGCUGGAGAAGAAAAUGAAAGGUCGACCUGUAAGGCUUCUGAAUAAGAUUAGAAAUCAUGAAGGAACAUGCAGGGAAAAGAGAAGUCACAGUGCAGAUGAUGCAGCCUGCUAUGAAUUGGUUUACUCCCCACGAAUUGCAGCAUCUGAGAGAAUAGAUUCUCCAAAACCAAACAAUAACAACAAAGACCUUGGGCCCCGCCCCACAACGUAUGGAGGCUGCGAGGAGAGGGGGAGGAACCGGGCUAGGGAGAGGCUGCCUUUCUCAUCAAAGGAGGAUGAAGAAAAUGAGAAAAAUUCUGCAAUCACUAGACAGGACAAAAGUGGUAGAAAAGACGACAAAGAGAACUUUGCUGUUCCUCUUACCCCAGGGAUAAGGACACCAAGGCCGAAAGGUGUGAAGACCCCCUACCAGCAGCUGAUGGUGCCCCCCUCCAAACCAAGGUCACCACUGAUGGCCAAACAGUUAAUACCAACAUCUCUGGAUGACACAUUGUCCCCAGGAAAGUCGGACCAGUCAAUGAUGAACACAACACUCUCUCCAUCCCGAUCUUAUGAUUCUCAACUCAACAAGCUCCAAGAUCACCCCACUCCACUCAGUGCUAGCAAGAGGGCUGCCUCAGCAGACGGCUUGGAGGGAGAGUUUACUCCGAAGUCUCGUAAGGCCUCGGUGUUUGGGAGUCUGGAGAGAAUGUUCAACAUGCUGACCCCUAAAAAACAGACCAAGUCCUCUUCUGAUGGUCCCAGAAAGGUCAAGGCUUUACACAAUAUUUUCCGAACAAAUGAAACCAAUCCUGAGUAUGUACUGGAGAAACUGAAGGAGGUUGUAGAAGAAAAGUGUGUUCCGUAUAAACAGAGCGACUAUACACUUCGCUGCACUGUGAUGAGUGAUUGGUCGAGAGUUCAGCUGGCCUUUGACCUGGAGAUCUGCACGUUACCCAAGGUUCCCUACGUAGGAAUCUGCAGGAAGCGGGUCAAAGGUGAUACCUGGCACUACAAGAAGCUCUGUGAGGACAUUUUAACUUCCUGUAAACUGUAAGUCAUGCUGUGGAAAUGAUGAAUGGUUGUGAUACAUAUAUGAUAUUGCCUCGAAGAGGACCACACAUCCUGUACCAUCACACCUCAAAGAACACUAGAGGCACUUUAUAAACGUCUGUGAUUUCCCUCAUCAAAGUCUACAAGCUUCUGAAAUGGUGCUUUAGUGAAUGUUUUAAGUUUAUGAAAAAAAAGCAGAAGAAAAAAAAUGGAAACAAAGAAACUGAGUUUUAGCUGUGUGUGAAUGCAAGAGGAUUGCAUUUCAAGAAAAAUUGAUGACCUUAUAUAAUCUACAGUGAUAUUGAAAUUAUUUUUAUUGCUAUAGUUGCUGUCCACACUUUAUUCUUUACUGUUACCCCACCCCACCCCACUCCACCUACUUACUAACCAUGAUCCACCUCUGUACAUGCACACAGGCCCUAUAUAGCAUGGUUUUUAUUUGUAUGUUAUUAAUUUGAGUGCUAGAAAAAUAUGAAAUAGGAUUCACAGCUUUAGAGAAUUACAGUAAUGUGGAAAAAAGAAUACCUAACCAGUUAUAUAAAUUCAGAAGUAUACCUUGGUUUUAAAUGAUGUUGAAAUAUGGAUUCUUUUUUCUGCAGUUAAUGUAGUUUUUAUUUAGUUAUUUAUUAUUUUAGUGGUUAGUUAUGUUGAAAAGAUGUUUUUAUAUUUCAGAAAACACAUUUUAUGUAAAUUUUACUAUAUCAUCUUUUUUCACUCGUACAUUGUCAAAUGUCCAGAUUGUCAAUAAUUUCACUAUUUGUAAAUACGACUGAUUUUCUUUCACCUCUUUCCUUUCUCUCUUUCUGUCAUUCUGGUUGUCUCCCUUUGUAUAUAUAUCUGACCCCCAUUUUUUUGUUUUGACUGCCCCUGUGUGGGUAAGUUGUACUAAUUAUCUGCUCAUUACGGGUAUACUGUCAUACCCAGGUUAUAUAUGGUACAUAAACACUUAAAGGAGAAGCCAUUGUUAUUUCUUUGUGAAGAAUUACAAAUAAACAUAUAAACGGGUGAAAUCUUAUAAUAUUUGAUC
rnacentral:misc_RNA from 1 species